rnacentral:rRNA from 1 species
GACGGUUGUCCCGGUUUAAGCGUGUAGGCUGGUUUUCCAGGCAAAUCCGGAAAACUAAGGCUGAGGCGUGAUGACGAGGCACUACGGUGCUGAAGCAACAAAUGCCCUGCUUCCAGGAAAAGCCUCUAAGCAUCAGGUAACAUCAAAUCGUACCCCAAACCGACACAGGUGGUCAGGUAGAGAAUACCAAGGCGCUUGAGAGAACUCGGGUGAAGGAACUAGGCAAAAUGGUGCCGUAACUUCGGGAGAAGGCACGCUGAUAUGUAGGUGAAGUCCCUCGCGGAUGGAGCUGAAAUCAGUCGAAGAUACCAGCUGGCUGCAACUGUUUAUUAAAAACACAGCACUGUGCAAACACGAAAGUGGACGUAUACGGUGUGACGCCUGCCCGGUGCCGGAAGGUUAAUUGAUGGGGUCAGCGCAAGCGAAGCUCUUGAUCGAAGCCCCGGUAAACGGCGGCCGUAACUAUAACGGUCCUAAGGUAGCGAAAUUCCUUGUCGGGUAAGUUCCGACCUGCACGAAUGGCGUAAUGAUGGCCAGGCUGUCUCCACCCGAGACUCAGUGAAAUUGAACUCGCUGUGAAGAUGCAGUGUACCCGCGGCAAGACGGAAAGACCCCGUGAACCUUUACUAUAGCUUGACACUGAACAUUGAGCCUUGAUGUGUAGGAUAGGUGGGAGGCUUUGAAGUGUGGACGCCAGUCUGCAUGGAGCCGACCUUGAAAUACCACCCUUUAAUGUUUGAUGUUCUAACGUUGACCCGUAAUCCGGGUUGCGGACAGUGUCUGGUGGGUAGUUUGACUGGGGCGGUCUCCUCCUAAAGAGUAACGGAGGAGCACGAAGGUUGGCUAAUCCUGGUCGGACAUCAGGAGGUUAGUGCAAUGGCAUAAGCCAGCUUGACUGCGAGCGUGACGGCGCGAGCAGGUGCGAAAGCAGGUCAUAGUGAUCCGGUGGUUCUGAAUGGAAGGGCCAUCGCUCAACGGAUAAAAGGUACUCCGGGGAUAACAGGCUGAUACCGCCCAAGAGUUCAUAUCGACGGCGGUGUUUGGCACCUCGAUGUCGGCUCAUCACAUCCUGGGGCUGAAGUAGGUCCCAAGGGUAUGGCUGUUCGCCAUUUAAAGUGGUACGCGAGCUGGGUUUAGAACGUCGUGAGACAGUUCGGUCCCUAUCUGCCGUGGGCGCUGGAGAACUGAGGGGGGCUGCUCCUAGUACGAGAGGACCGGAGUGGACGCAUCACUGGUGUUCGGGUUGUCAUGCCAAUGGCACUGCCCGGUAGCUAAAUGCGGAAGAGAUAAGUGCUGAAAGCAUCUAAGCACGAAACUUGCCCCGAGAUGAGUUCUCCCUGACUCCUUGAGAGUCCUGAAGGAACGUUGAAG